rnacentral:rRNA from 1 species
UACGUAGGGUGCAAGCGUUAAUCGGAAUUACUGGGCGUAAAGCGUGCGCAGGCGGUUUUGCAAGGCAGCUGUGAAAUCCCCGGGCUUAACCUGGGAAUUGCAUUUGUGACUGCACGGCUAGAGUGUGUCAGAGGGGGGUAGAAUUCCACGUGUAGCAGUGAAAUGCGUAGAUAUGUGGAGGAAUACCGAUGGCGAAGGCAGCCCCCUGGGAUAACACUGACGCUCAUGCACGAAAGCGUGGGGAGCAAACAGG